GCAUUGAUUAAUUCACUCUGACAACAGUCAGAUAGUGUUUCCAGUAUAAAUCCACUGAAGGUAAACUGAUUCAACCUGAGACAAACUGUACAUGAACACCAUCAGAUCAUCACAAAUGAGAGUCCAUUCAGACCUUAAUGUAAACUGCACAUUAACUUGUCUGUCUGUCUGUUAGCUAGUUGAUUAGUGCUGAAAUAUAUCGGUGUGUGUUGUCUCUCUCUCAGCAGAACAACACCAGCACAGUACCUGUCGUUGAGGUCGACCCGCAGGGCAAAUAUAUUCGUCUCAGGAACUCGUCCAAUGAGGAGCAACAACUGGAAGGAUGGAGGUUAGAAUUAAAUAUGAGAAAAUCCAUCACGUACACAUUUGAGAACUCAUUCAAACUACAGGCUGGAAACACUUUCACUUUGCGGGCUCCACAUUAUGGUAGCUGUCAUGAUGCCGAUAACCUGGUGUGGAGUGACCUGAAGUUGAGCCCUGGAGACAAACUGCAGGUCGCCCUCAUCAGCAACACUGGAGAGAUUCACCUCAGAUCAUCAGAUCAUAUUACCAUAUUAUCUCUUGCAGAUAAUAAUUGACCAAGCUGUUAUGUUACGAUUCAGACCUUUCUGCAGAAACACAUAUUGUGGUGAUGCUCAGUAUUUUCAUUCUGGAGUUGACAACAUUUGAUCUUUGUUUUUUUUUUUAUGAAUAUCAAAUCAAAGAUUAUUACAUUUUCUUUUUGUGGUAAUCAACAAUUCAAAACAUGUUUGUUUACAUUGUGGCAACAUGUUUACAUUUUUUUGCUACUCUUCAUUGAUUAAUAAGAAUAAAAAUCUCAUAUAUUGAAUAGCUAGGUGUGAGGUUAGGACUGAAAGUAAAAUAAACUCAAAAACUGAGCGAAUGUAAUAUAUUAACAUUUAUUCUCCUUUGACACACACAGUUUCUACAGCUCGGUGGUUUCGACAGUAAAGAUAUUAUUUUCUAUUCUGUGUUUUAUAUUGUUUGUAAAUUAGUUCAUACUGUCAGUUUAGAAUGAUCUGCUCCAUGUUUCUGUAUUAAAGAGGUAAAAAUCUAAAAAUAUCAAAAAGAUUUUCCAGACAUAUUGUUUAUUAUUAUUAUUUUUUGUCCAGUGAGUAUAAAAAUAAAUUAAAUUGUAUACUUUUUGUGUUUUUUCUUGGAAAGUUAUCCACACAGUUUUCUAUUCAAUAAAACAGAUAUUUCUUUCUUGUUCUAUUUAAUUAUUUUAAAUUGAAAGCAGAGAGUAAAUCUCUUAAUUUGAUUUGAGUAGAGAAAUCACAGAAAUCCAGGACGUAGGCACGGUUGUGCUAAGAGCUACGCUAAUGUUAGCAUUCUAACAUAUACAUAGGGACAAUUGUAUUAUUGUAUUAUAUUCUUAUUAUAUUAUCAUUCAAAAGUCAGGUGAUGCAGUA
rnacentral:lncRNA from 15 species